CGGCGCCUCCCGCCGGACCGGGAGCACGAGGCGCGGCGACCGAGUUCAGACGCGGCGCGGCGGGAUGGCUGAACGAGGGGGCCAGGCCGAGGGGGCCAGGCCACCAAGGAGGCCGCACCGGGCGGGCGGAGCCGCUUCAGGUUCGCAGUGAAAAGGCAGCGAACGGGCCUGUGACUGAGCGUCCUCGGCGCUGAGGAAGACGACGACGUCGCGAUGCGGGAGAGAAGCUGGGCCUGGGGGGCGCUCCUCUCAGGGGAGGAGGCGGUGGAGGAGGAAAUUCGUGCGAGGCCCCAGAGGCGGGAGAAGGAGGCCGAGGGUCCAGCUCGGAGAGCGUGAGGGAGCAGAGCGGACCGGAGGCGAGCGGCCAGGGCCGUGCCAGCAGGAGGGCGGGAAACGGUGCUCAGCGUCCAGGAGACACGCCACGUGCCGGGGCGUCGUGUUCACGCCUGUCUAGCUGGGUCACAGGACGCGGUGAGCGGAGAUGUGCCGACAUUGAUCUGCCAAAGUGCGCCCCAAGCGGACUUUGGGAUCUGGAACUGGGGCACCCCCUGCGGUGUCCCAAGGAAGAAAGAACAGGGGAAAAAAAAAAAAAAAAAGGAGGAUCUCGGAACGCAGGAACUGGAAAAGUCCUUCUUCCCCCCUGUUGUAGCCAUUAAGGAAUUUCAGGUCCUCCUGAGCAGUAUAACCUGUGUCCCCUUCUACCCCGUUCUUUUCCAGCCCGCAGUCGGACCACAACGCCCCCAAUCCUACCACAACGCCCCCAAUCCUGACUGCUCCGUGAAAUAGGGAUUCUGGUGCAAGCUGUUUAUUGGCAGACUACCUCAGGAGAAAGCCGAGAUGCCAUCAAAUCUGUGACGCUCUCUGCAACCCCACAGUGGAGGACAUCUUUGCAGUAGCCGUGGACAUGGUUGACAAGGACCGUCCCCGAAGCACAGCCUGGUCAGCGUCCAGAGCACCACCUGCCCUUCACCACCAUCUGAAUGUCCGGGCAGCCUCCCCACUGCCCCGCCCUGGUAGACUCCGGUGGUUGGGGGAACCUCCUCUAUCCAGCCUCCUCUUUCCACGGGGAGAAACAGGCAUUAGCAUGACACUCAGGUAGGAGUUCCCGUGGAGACUCUCUCCCCUCGUCUCUGAGGUCGGCCUGCCCGCUCAGAGCGCGCGCUUCCCACGUGGAGGACUCGGCUGAGAGUCUGGGUCGGUGGAGGAUGGAGGCGCUUCCCAUCUGCCUGCCUGGCAGGGUGGACGUCGAGGUGUCAGGCCUGGGCUAGCGGCAUCACACCUGCCGUGCCCACCUCCUUCGGCCCAGAUGGAGGGAGCGGCCGCAGAAGGCCACUGUCCCUCUUAGCAACAGAAGAAUUCCCAGAAGCCAGUCUCUCCUGGAGUGGCACUGGUCACCCCAGCCAGGACCAGGCUCUGGCAGAGGGGCAGGGUGGCCUGGGCGGCUUUGACCAGCCAAUCACUCCCAACGUCUGACAGAACCAGCCGCCAAAAUCAGGAGGCUUCUCCAACGCUGCCGGUCCCCUGCAGGCUCUCCCGACAUCCAGGAAGUGUCGCUGGGGAGCAAGCCUCCAGGCGGGACCUGCCUCCCAUUCCGCG
ensembl:lncRNA